CAAAUUUCUGCCCUAUCAACUUUCGAUGGUAGGAUAGUGGCUACCAUGGUUUCAACGGGUAACGGGGAAUUAGGGUUCUAUUCCGGAGAGGGAGCCUGAGAAACGGUACCACAUCCAAGGAAGGCAGCAGGCGCGCAAAUUACCCAAUCCCGACACGGGGAGGUAGUGACAAUAAAUACUGAUACAGGGCUCUUUUGGGUCUUGUAAUUGGAAUGAGUACAAUUUAAAUCCCUUAACGAGGAACAAUUGGAGGGCAAGUCUGGUGCCAGCAGCCGCGGUAAUUCCAGCUCCAAUAGCGUAUAUUCAAAGUUGUUGCAGUUAAAGAGCUCGUAGUUGAACCUUGGGCCUGGAUGGGCCGGUCCGCCUCACCGCGUGCAAUGGUCCGGCCGGGCCUUUCCUUCUGGGGAGCCGAUGCCCUUCACUGGGUGUGUCGGGGAACCAAGGACUUUUUACCUUGAGGAAAUUAGAGUGUACAAAGCAGGCCUAUGCCUGAACUACAUUAGCAAUGGAAUAAUAAACAUAGGACGUGCGGUUC
rnacentral:rRNA from 1 species